AGAGUUUGAUCCUGGCUCAGGACGAACGCUGGCGGCGUGCCUAACACAUGCAAGUCGAGCGGUCUCGCCUAUAGCAAAAGGCCUUCGGGCUUCGAGCAAAGGCGAGAUAGCGGCGGACGGGUGAGUAACGCGUGGCUUAUCUGUCCCAGGGAGGGGGAUAACGUCUGGAAACGGGCGCUAAUACCCCAUAUGCCGGUGAGGUAAAAAGGAGAAAUCCGCCCUGGGGUGAGGCCGCGUCCUAUCAGCUAGUUGGUGAGGUAACGGCCCACCAAGGCUAUGACGGGUAGCCGGCCUGAGAGGGCGGCUGGCCACACUGGGAUUGAGAUACGGCCCAGACUCCUACGGGAGGCAGCAGUGGGGAAUAUUGGGCAAUGGGGGAAACCCUGACCCAGCGACGCCGCGUGGAGGAAGGAGCCCUUCGGGGUGUAAACUCCUGUUGUAAGGGAAGAAGACAGUGACGGUACCUUACGAGGAAGCCCCGGCAAACUACGUGCCAGCAGCCGCGGUAACACGUAGGGGGCGAGCGUUGUCCGGAAUCACUGGGCGUAAAGCGCACGCAGGCGGAUGCGCGCGUCGGCUGUGAAAUGCACCGGCUCAACCGGUGCACUGCGGUCGAUACGGCGCGUCUGGAGUGCGGGAGAGGGAAGCGGAAUUCCCGGUGUAGCGGUGAAAUGCGUAGAUAUCGGGAGGAACGCCGGUGGCGAAGGCGGCUUCCUGGCCCGCAACUGACGCUCAUGUGCGAAAGCCAGGGGAGCGUACCGGAUUAGAUACCCGGGUAGUCCUGGCCGUAAACGAUGGACGCUAGGUGUGGGCGGUUUAUCCGUCUGUGCCGAAGUUAACGCGUUAAGCGUCCCGCCUGGGGAGUACGAUCGCAAGGUUGAAACUCAAUGAAUUGACGG
rnacentral:rRNA from 1 species